CGGGAUGUAGCGCAGCUGGCUAGCGCGCCACGUUCGGGACGUGGAGGCCGCUGGUUCGAAUCCAGUCAUCCCGACCA
rnacentral:tRNA from 4 species